GUUAUCACGAAAGGCAGAGGGAAUAGACCCAAUGAAGCCUUGGCAACCUCUCAUUAUGAGAAAGGUGCUACAUUCUACAGAAUUUUUAUUCUGACAGAUAAC
rnacentral:ncRNA from 1 species